AUACGUAGGUGCAAGCGUUGUCCGGAAUUACUGGGUGUAAAGGGCGUGUAGGCGGGGUCUUAAGUCCGUUGUGAAAUCUAUCGGCUCAACCGGUAGCUGCGGCGGAAACUGGGACUCUUGAGUGAAGUAGAGGCAGGCGGAAUUCCUAGUGUAGCGGUGAAAUGCGUAGAUAUUAGGAGGAACACCAGUGGCGAAGGCGGCCUGCUGGGCUUUUACUGACGCUGAGGCUCGAAAGUGUGGGGAGC
rnacentral:rRNA from 1 species